AUUGAACGCUGGCGGCAGGCCUAACACAUGCAAGUCGAACGGUAGCACAGAGAGCUUGCUCUUGGGUGACGAGUGGCGGACGGGUGAGUAAUGUCUGGGAAACUGCCCGAUGGAGGGGGAUAACUACUGGAAACGGUAGCUAAUACCGCAUAACGUCUUCGGACCAAAGUGGGGGACCUUCGGGCCUCACACCAUCGGAUGUGCCCAGAUGGGAUUAGCUAGUAGGUGGGGUAAUGGCUCACCUAGGCGACGAUCCCUAGCUGGCCUGAGAGGAUGAACAGCCACACUGGAACUGAGACACGGUCCAGACUCCUACGGGAGGCAGCAGUGGGGAAUAUUGCACAAUGGGCGCAAGCCUGAUGCAGCCAUGCCGCGUGUAUGAAGAAGGCCUUCGGGUUGUAAAGUACUUUCAGCGGGGAGGAAGGCGUUAAGGUUAAUAACCUUGGCGAUUGACGUUACCCGCAGAAGAAGCACCGGCUAACUCCGUGCCAGCCGCCGCGGUAA
rnacentral:rRNA from 1 species